rnacentral:rRNA from 1 species
CCGGGGGUAGGGAGGUAAUGUCUGGGAAACGGCUCGAUGGAGGGGGGUAAUAGCUGGAAACGGUAGCUAAUACCGCAUAACGUCGCAAGACCAAAGAGGGGGACCUUCGGGCCUCUUGCCAUCGGAUGUGCCCAGAUGGGAUUAGCUAGUAGGUGGGGUAACGGCUCACCUAGGCGACGAUCCCUAGCUGGUCUGAGAGGAUGACCAGCCACACUGGAACUGAGACACGGUCCAG